CAGACUCUUAACUCUAGAGAACAGACUGAUGGUUACCAGAGGGGAGGUGGGUAGGGGGAUGGAUGAAAUCGGGGAUGGGGAGUAAAAGUACACUUGCCAUGAUGAGAGACAACAGCCAC